AUUACUGGCCGCCCCUGCGCCCCACGCCACGGUCCAGCGCAACAAUUUGCCUCCUAGUCGUGAGCAUUUCGUAUACCUGCUCAUCUCCCCUGGGCUAAAUCCCGCACCACAACGUUUCUUGAACUAAGUAAGCCUAUUACACCAAUGUAACGGUGAUACGAGGAAUCAUGAAACAGGAAGUAGCAGGUGGGGCCUGUCACACGUGCUCCUGACCUUCAGUUGUGCUGGUGCAUUCAGGAAGUAGAUGAGACGCCAACACUGAUAUCAGCAUUCUGAAGGCAGUGUCAUGGCAACCAGCUGAUUUUAAACGUCUCUUGGAAUGCAAAGGUGUCUCUCCAUCUCAUAUUUGUCUCCAUCUCAUAUUUCUUUACCUGAUGGAUAUAACUAGAUAAUCACAAUGAAGUCUCUCACACAGCAAAAAGGAUAAGUGUGUGAUAAGUGUUAGUGAGCAUGUGUGCUUGUUUAUGUGUGUUUUGUCUGGCCAUACCCUUCCAUGUAGUACAGUAUCUAAUCACAAGAUGGCUAAGCCUUUGAUAUGAAAGGUGCAGAGCGGAUCUUUGGAGCCCAGGGCCAGCAGAUCACUGGAGCCCAGUGCCAGCGGAUCACUGGAGCCCAGUGCCAGCGGAUCACUGGAGCCCAGGGCCAGCGGAUGACUGGAGCCCAGGGCCAGCGGAUCACUGGAGCCCAGGGCCAGCGGAUCACUGGAGCCCAGGCCCAGCAGAUCACUGGAGCCCAGGGCCAGCAGAUCAAUCCUCUCCACAGGAUGAGAAGCCCAACUCAUGAGCAGAUAUGUCACUGGACAGCCUGAUGCUGAUGUCUUAAUUUUUUUUUCACCCCCAGUAUCUCAGUGUAAGUGCAACCCCCCACUAACCCCUCCUGUCCUCAUACCAGAGCGCGCAUCCGAACCCGUGGACAAUCAUCUCCAGCCUCUCUGGCCCCACGCUCUGCAGGCUCCCCUCACUAUGCCUGUUCCAUAAGCAUAAAUUGCUGCUCCCCGGGGACAGCCCAGGAGACGACCGGCCCGAGAGGAGAGAGAUGGAACUGUCUGGAGCAGCUCCUGUUUCAAAUUAGCUUCGCUGGACAAAAGUCACCACAGAAAGCAGGCCCUGAAAAUCGACUUCGGAGGCUCGGUGGACCAAGGGGUGGAGAACCAGAGCGUGGAGGCUCUCCCGAGCUGGUGGAGGCGCUACACGUGGACUGGGCCAGGCGUGUCUGGACUGGGGCAUGGAGAGGUAGCUUGCAGGCUUGUUACAGUGGAACUGGGAUCAUUCUCCACAGAGGCCAGUAUAUCCCAGAUCUCCAUUUCCCAUCUUACCUGCUCCUCUUAACCUCCAGUGUCUGUGUAAAACUCCUUGGUCAUGUGACAGUUAAAAUGUGACACCACUUGCUUUCAGCUCCGCCAGGAUUGGCUGGCGGAAGAUAACAUACAGAGGAAGUAUUAUUAUCUCUUGAUGGUUAUGCAUCUGCACAGUCUAUAAUUAAAAUAAUUGAGAACUUAAUUCA